rnacentral:rRNA from 1 species
UACGUAGGUGGCAAGCGUUGUCCGGAUUUACUGGGCGUAAAGCGUGCGUAGGCGGUUCGUUAAGUCUGUUGUGAAAGCCCCGGGCUCAACCUGGGAAUGGCAAUGGAUACUGGCGAGCUAGAGUGUGUCAGAGGAUGGUGGAAUUCCCGGUGUAGCGGUGAAAUGCGUGGAGAAUCGGGAGGAACAUCAGUGGCGAAGGCGGCCAUCUGGGACAACACUGACGCUGAGGCACGAAAGCGUGGGGAGCAAACAGG